rnacentral:lncRNA from 1 species
CUUUAUUCAUUAUACCAUGCAUUUACACAUUUACAAAAUUUAUUUGGUACCUUCCAAUGUGCAAAUGCUGUAUCCUUUGGAACUGCAAUUUGUACAUGUUGCUUGUUUGAUGUGUGAAAUACAAAGAUAGCAGAACUCUCCAUGGCCCUCAUCCUAGUGCUUCCUCCUUCAUCAUUCCUGUGCGUCUCAGAGGAUUUGGCCAAGACCUCUGGAAGCCGUGCCCUCCCAGCUACAUGCAAUGUUGAUGUUCUGAUAUAUUUGCCAAGACUUAAGUUUAUACUCAAUAAUUUCCUCUCCAGUUGCCUCUUGCACUUAUCAAUGGGACUGAAACACAACGUGAAGACUGCUGUCGAUCUUGAAGUUUCUGCAAAGAAGUAUGCACCCGAAGCCUCUUUGUGCAUGAAGUUGUCAUCAUCCUAUGUGCUCUGCCCUGACUUUGGGACCAGAUGCUGAUGGAAAAAGAACCCCAAAUGAAGAUCUCUAAGAUUUUUAGCUUUAGCAACUCCACUUAGUAUUCCAAACUCAGGAAUAUUAGGAGUACAAAGGUAACUGGAGGAUGGAUCAUUUGAAGUUGUUUUGUACACUGUUCUGGAAGUUCGAUUUCCUUUGCUUUCCUGUUGCUUAAUGCAUUUGGGUGAAAUUUUUCCUUUUCUUCCAAUAUAUUUGGCACCCAGUGCAGCCUAUAACCUGUGGCCCAUAAACAUAGAAGGGAUCAGAAUCACCUGGGUGUGACCUCAUUAUAUAUGUUUUAGUUAACACCUCAUUUGAGAAAUAUUCAUUGGGUUCAAGGAGAAAUUCUGUGAAACUCAUUGGCUCACCAGCAUCUGAGAACUUGAGUCAAAUAUCUUUCAGGUGCUCUAAAAUUUGUUCAUCGUGUUUCUCACCACAUUUCUGAGCAUCUCUGUAUUCUUACAAACUUUCCACCCCAAAAUGAAGAAUUCCUUUAGGGUAUCCUUUACCUUCAGACUUUUUCUCUUCAAUUUUUGUCUUCUUUUAUUUCCUUAGCAACUGUCUCCUCAGCACUUAGUUUCUAUUUAUUUUCAUCUUCUGUAGGCUCAUAAAUUUCAUUGAUAAUUUUGUAUAUCUUACCAAACAGAGGUUCAUAGAGACACCCAUAUUUUCUCUCAGUAUCAGGGAUUGCUUUGUGAUAUUCAGACUGUAUUUUUGUCUAUUUUAUGGAGAGUUUUCUGAGAGUAUUAAGUUGCUUCUUAACUGCAUUAGGCAAGUGCUGAAAGAAGUUUGCAGAUGCUCCAGCUGAAUCACUGCAUCUUUCUUGAGAAACUUCAUGAGUUUGAGAAAUUUGCCUCUCCAACAGUUUUUUGUUUCUUCCUGUCCUCAACAACAUGAUGGGCCCUCUUUUUUGUUGCAGCUUCUGCUGCCUGUGACACAGCCUCCUGGCACAAAACAGCCUCCUGGG